ensembl:lncRNA
CAGCAAUGUACAUUUGGGACAGGGAAAUACUGGAAGCAUUAUUGCUGCACGGCGAAGGGGUAAUGGCAGCAAUCAGAAUAGUGAGGGAACCAAAAACUGCCUCCCUUACUGUGAUGAAAGGGAAACGUUCAGUGCACCGACUGGAACGGAGCCAGCUAGGAAGGGACUUCAGCAGGAAGGGCUGCACAGCUUCCCAGCCAUCACAGGAUCAGAGCAGCCGUGGACCUGAGGAGGUGAUUAAGAAUCAAGUGCCCGUGACAAAUAGCCCUUCAGAGGAAGUUAGCUUUUGUGGGAGCAACUCGAGCUGACCCUGAGCUGAAUGAGAAACUCAUCAUCGCAUGCUCUGAGCCAUCAGGAAGUGAACCUCAAAUUGGGAUCUGAGUGUCUUGGUUGGUACAAGGACCUGUGAAAAACUGUAUCUUGAAGAUGCAGAAAGGUCAGACUAUGGGUUUCCACUGCAGGACUAGCAACUAACUGGCAUUUGUGUGCUGGUGGUCCCUGCCCUGUGGACAUACAGUUAAAAAGCUCCAGAGGAGUUGUUGUUCCUUGUGCAAAGAGAAGACCUUUCCUUUGGCUCAGAGCUGGCAUCAUUGCAUCAGUUGAGUGGUUACUUGGAUUGGAAGAUGGUAAAAGCAAUUGCUGCUGGGCUUUUUUUGUACAGCAGAAAGAGGUCGCAAUCUUCCCUGUGGACUGUGGUGGUUAUUCCCCCAAACUUAUGCCUUUUGCCAGCUUGGUGAUAGAACUUCAGGGUUUCAGUGGAGCAGGUGUCAAAGCACACAGCCAAGGAAUGGAGCUGAAGGCAUAAUUCUUAGUCUGAGACGUUAACUAUGGGCACAGUUGUAAUCUGAGAAAAUCAUGAAUGUCACCAAUGCAUUCUGGUAAAGUGAUAGCUAUAAAAUGAAAGAUUUAAAGGAAGCAAUCAUAAUGGUUAACAGCAGUAUGAAAAAGCUUAAACAUGUUCAUAAAUUUCAAUAACUGCUGAGCAAUAUACUGGAUUCAUCUAGGAGAGAUUUAAUUUGAAAAAUGCUAAAUAGGAGGAACAGACUGGAAACAGACAUUCCUCCUGAAGAUGAAGCCUUUUGGUGAGAAAUUUACAUUGCACUUCAGCUGAAGCGAUACUAAAUGUGAGUACAAUGUGUUAGAAAAGGAAUUAUAAAAUAAAUUGUGGAAGGAGGUUUUUAAAUUUGCACGUUAAGGAAAAAAAGCUUUAUUUUGUAUUCUCACUUCAGAUGAUGAUCGUGUCUUGAUGUAUAAGUGCCCAUGCAUGCUGAAAUAAAUGAAAAUAACAAAAAAAAAAUGGUAUUAACUACAUAGAUUUUUAAUAGAAAAAGAAAAUGACUGAAGUCUUAUCACAGGGAAGUAUAAACAUAUAUGCUUGUGAGCAAGUAUCCAGAACAUACGCAUCGAUUUCAACAAUGCAUAAUAUAUAGAAUACAAAUGCUUUAGAUGAAUUUCAAAUUUGCUGUGUUUAAAAUUAAUUGUAUUCUGAGACGGAGCCUUUCAUUGCAGAUAGUUUUAGCAAGAUGCAUCAGUGCACUAAGAUUUUUUGAAAUGGUGAAUACCUUCUUUGUGUUGCUAAUUGCAGCUGUGCAGUCUGCAAAUGAAGGAUAUCCAGCAUCUUAUUUCCCAUUUCAAUCAUUUUAUUCCUGUUGAU